rnacentral:tRNA from 7 species
GGGCCUCUAGCUGAGUUGGUUAGAUGGUCUGAGUAGCACUCCUCAGGUCCUGGGUUCGACUCCCCGUGGGAGCG